rnacentral:rRNA from 1 species
GUCUACAGCCAUGCUACCCUGAACAAGCCGAUCCCGUCUGAUCUCGGAAGCUAAGCAGGGUCAGGCCUGGUUAGUACUUACUUGGAUGGGAGACCACCUAGGAAGACCAGGUGCUGUAGGCA